GCUUCCGUAGCUCAAUUGGUCAAGAGCAACACACAGAUUGUGGAGGAUGCGGGUUCAAGUCCUGCCGGAAGCG